rnacentral:rRNA from 1 species
UACGUAGGUGGCAAGCGUUAUCCGGAUUUAUUGGGCGUAAAGGGAACGCAGGCGGUCUUUUAAGUCUGGUGUGAAAGCCUUCGGCUUAACCGGAGUAGUGCAUUGGAAACUGGGAGACUUGAGUGCAGAAGAGGAGAGUGGAGCUCCAUGUGUAGCGGUGAAAUGCGUAGAUAUAUGGAAGAACACCAGUGGCGAAAGCGGCUCUCUGGUCUGUAACUGACGCUGAGGUUCGAAAGCGUGGGUAGCAAACAGG